CCUACGGAGGCAGCAGUGGGGAAUAUUGGACAAUGGGCGAAAGCCUGAUCCAGCCAUGCCGCGUGUGUGAAGAAGGCCUUCGGGUUGUAAAGCACUUUCAGUGGGGAAGAAAGCCUUGGGGCUAAUACCCUCGAGGAAGGACAUAACCCACAGAAGAAGCACCGGCUAACUCCGUGCCAGCAGCCGCGGUAAUACGGAGGGUGCGAGCGUGAAUCGGAAUUACUGGGCGUAAAGCGCGCGUAGGCGGUCUGAUAAGCCGGUUGGGAAAGCCCCGGGCUCAACCUGGGAACGGCAUCCGGAACUGUCAGGCUAGAGUGCAGGAGAGGAAGGUAGAAUUCCCGGUGUAGCGGUGAAAUGCGUAGAGAUCGGGAGGAAUACCAGUGGCGAAGGCGGCCUUCUGGACUGACACUGACGCUGAGGUGCGAAAGCGUGGGUAGCAAACAGGAUUAGAUACCCGGGUAGUC
rnacentral:rRNA from 1 species